rnacentral:rRNA from 1 species
UACGAAGGGGGCUAGCGUUGCUCGGAAUCACUGGGCGUAAAGCGCACGUAGGCGGCUUCUUAAGUCAGGGGUGAAAUCCUGGAGCUCAACUCCAGAACUGCCUUUGAUACUGAGGAGCUCGAGUCCGGAAGAGGUGAGUGGAACUGCGAGUGUAGAGGUGAAAUUCGUAGAUAUUCGCAAGAACACCAGUGGCGAAGGCGGACUCACUGGUCCGGUACUGACGCUGAGGUGCGGAAAGCGUGGGGAGCAAACAGGG